UGUGAAUUGGAUAGUUUAUAGUAUCAAGAAUCGGUGUAGAUGGCUUAGUUCCAGAGAAGUUAAGCGAUCUUCUGUGCUUUGGUUCCUGCUCUCUUAUAACCAGGGCACUGUUAUCAUCCCUUGCAUUAUUGUCCAAGGCAGCUACUACAGCUCCAUGAAGCUUUCGCUUGGUGUUGGAGACAGAGGUACUAGAGGGUUUAUGAGGCAGCAGCUGGCUAGAGAAAGAAUGGGCAUCUUGAAUAUAAGCAGAAGAAAGAAGAAAGCCUGAUCUGAGAACUGAAGAAGCAGCCAUUUUCUGGGUUGUUGAAGAGAUAAAAGUAAUUAAUUAAGAGUUAGCUACAGCUUGAGACGAAGAAGAAGAAGAAGAAGAAGAAG
rnacentral:misc_RNA from 1 species